rnacentral:piRNA from 1 species
UGGAGGCAUUGUUUGAAGUGACCCUC